UAUUGCACAAUGGGGGGAACCCUGAUGCAGCAACGCCGCGUGGAGGAUGACGCAUUUCGGUGUGUAAACUCCUUUUAUAUGUCAAGAAAAUGACGGUAGCAUAUGAAUAAGCACCGGCUAACUCCGUGCCAGCAGCCGCGGUAAUACGGAGGGUGCAAGCGUUACUCGGAAUCACUGGGCGUAAAGGACGCGUAGGCUGGUUGAAAAGUCAGGUGUGAAAGCCUACAGCUUAACUGUAGAACUGCACUUGAAACUCUCAAUCUAGAGUAUGGGAGGGGGAGAUGGAAUUAGUGGUGUAGGGGUAAAAUCCGUAGAUAUCACUAGGAAUACCUAAAGCGAAGGCGAUCUCCUGGAACAUUACUGACGCUAAGGCGUGAAAGCGGGGGGAGCAAACAGG
rnacentral:rRNA from 1 species